rnacentral:rRNA from 1 species
CCUACGGGGGGCUGCAGUGGGGAAUAUUGGACAAUGGGCGCAAGCCUGAUCCAGCCACGCCGCGUGAGUGAUGAAGGCCUUCGGGUCGUAAAGCUCUGUGGGGAGGGACGAACCGCCGUUGGUUAAUACCCAACGGCAUGACGGUACCUCCUUAGCAAGCACCGGCUAACUUCGUGCCAGCAGCCGCUGUAAUACGAAGGGUGCAAACGUUGCCCGGAAUUAUUGGGCGUAAAGUUAGCGUAGGGGGCUUGAAAUCCCUCGGCUCAACCAAGGAAGUGCUUUCGAAACUGCUGAGCUUGAGUACUUAAGAGGAUCGCGGAAUUCCCGGUGUAGAGGUGAAAUUCGUAGAUAUCGGGAGGAACACCAGUGGCGAAGGCGGCGAUCUGGGAAGAUACUGACGCUGAGGUGCGAAAGCGUGGGGAGCAAACAGGAUUAGAUACCCGAGUAGUC